GGACAAGAACGAGCUAAAAAGGUGAUUAUUCUUCUGGUUCUGUUGGUGUUUGGAUUUCAGAAUGCAAUGGCUUUGUCUUUCAAGUGCUUAUACAAGUAGCAUAGAAUUGUUUCCCUCACGAUAUAUAAUUGAUUUAAAUUUGGAAAACUUUGUUUUGGUUAUGUGGUUUAACACAAGUUAUUGCAAUUCGUUUCGUUUAGUUAUUCACUUAGUUACUUGU
rnacentral:misc_RNA from 1 species